UACGGAGGAUGCGAGCGUUAUCCGGAUUUAUUGGGUUUAAAGGGUGCGUAGGCGGGUUAUCAAGUCAGCGGUAAAAUCGUGGAGCUCAACUCCAUCCAGCCGUUGAAACUGAUGAUCUUGAGUGGGCGAGAAGUAUGCGGAAUGCGUGGUGUAGCGGUGAAAUGCAUAGAUAUCACGCAGAACUCCGAUUGCGAAGGCAGCAUACCGGCGCCCGACUGACGCUGAAGCACGAAAGCGUGGGUAUCGAGCAGG
rnacentral:rRNA from 1 species